UAGACGAAACGAUUGAUAAACUUAGGGUUUUGCUUUCCUCUAGAAAUGGCAGUUUAUAUGAUUCUUCGCCUUCAGUUUCUGGGGGAGUUUAGCUUCCUUCAUGAAUCAUUCUGUUCUAAUUUAUUUUUAAAUCAUUGUUUAAUGAUAUAUUUAAUGUACUUUAGGUUAAUGACGCGGUGAUGCGGAUCAGGUGCGGGCGGGUGUACAUGUGAAGUCAUGUGACUACGCCGUUGCUGCAAGAAUUGCUUCCAGAAUGCUACAUUUGAUGAACUUUUAGCACUCUUUUUGCGAGAAGAAGAUUUUGUGGAGACAUGGUGCUCUACUAGUGUUUAUUCCUCUCUAUGGAAUCUCCGGGAUCAUUACUUGAACUGCAUGAGCAGUCGAAAUGCCUUGUACAAUCUCUUAAUAUAAAAACAUAUAACAUCAACGGUAGACGGGCAAAGUAGAUUUGAGAUAUAUUUUGCUUCACAAAUCAUGUUUUGUGAUGAUCAAUAUAUAUACAUAAGAAACCAUGUUUUUUAGACUUCAUGAUGCAGCGGACAACUAGGUUGAACGGUCGAUCAAAGAACUUUAGGGUUCUUGAGACCUGUUCUUGGAUCAAUCAAGAGUUUCUUUCGAUAGCUUCUUGAGACCAACUUCCUGAAUAAGAUGAAUUUAAUCGAAUCUUGUUCAAGGCAACUCAAAAUAGAUGAAUUGAAUCAAAUCUCUUUUAAGGUAAUAAGCAAAAGCUCUAUUAUUAAUUAUCAAAGUCUCAAUACAACUUUAGGCUUCAAUGCCUAUUUAUAAUGAAUCCUUAAAUCUAGAAAACCCUAAUCUUAAUUAAAAUAGAAAAACCAUUAAAAUAUAGAAAAUACAAAUAAAAGGUAAUUAUCUAAAUUAAUAUAACUAAUAAAAUAAAUAACAAGAUAUUUGGAAAUAUUCCAAAUACUUAUCUGCAUCAUUCUCUCCGGGUUGGAGAAGAUUCGUCCUCGAAUCUUGAAUAGGUUUUUUGUGGCUGAAAUCUUCAAAUAUUUAUCUUCAAAUCCGAAAUUUUCAUAAAACCAAAUUUUCUGACUUUCUUCGAAAUUUGCACGGAACUCGUCCUGCACGGACUUUGCACGGAUCUUGUCCCGCCUGAAUUUUGCACGAAUCUCGUCUUGCCCGAUUUUUGCACAGACGAAAUUUUCAAAAGAAUCUUCACUGAAAACGAAGUCCACAACGUAUACAUCAUCUUCAUAAAUAUCGUAGAUCGGAUCACCAUAGAUCUCUCGAUAGAUCUCGUAGUUUUCUUCUCUCUCAACAAAUGGACUUUCGUCCUGGAUAGGAUAGAUGUUCGCACUCACCAUGACAUCCAGAAUCGUUCUUCGAUUGAAAAACCAAAGAGACGCAGCUCUGAUACCACCUGAUGCAGCGGACAACUAGGUUGAACGGUCGAUCAAAGAACUUUAGGGUUCUUGAGACCUGUUCUUGGAUCAAUCAAGAGUUUCUUUCGAUAGCUUCUUGAGACCAACUUCCUGAAUAAGAUGAAUUUAAUCGAAUCUUGUUCAAGGCAACUCAAAAUAGAUGAAUUGAAUCAAAUCUCUUUUAAGGUAAUAAGCAAAAGCUCUAUUAUUAAUUAUCAAAGUCUCAAUACAACUUUAGGCUUCAAUGCCUAUUUAUAAUGAAUCCUUAAAUCUAGAAAACCCUAAUCUUAAUUAAAAUAGAAAAACCAUUAAAAUAUAGAAAAUACAAA